AAUCCUCCUACCUGGAUCAGAUUUCUCACAACCUCCCGGGUCAAGGGUUCAGUUGCAGCAGCCGGGGCAACGGCUAUUAAUAGGCUCUGGAAUCUUUAUGAUUUUAGGCGUAGCAUAGUCAUCCCUAGCUCUCGGCGCCUACAAGGAAACAUGCAAAGAUACGGUUACGGUUUCCUGACUCGGCGGCUGCUGCCUCUUCUGAUCUUGGUCAUGUCAUUAUUGAUUUAUGGGGUUACCAACGAUCCCAAUAAUCCUGGCGUACAGGGGAGACCUCCUUGCUGUCAAAUUAUCGGAUGUUGUUAAUAGACGCGCUCCUAUGCUCUUUUUAUUUCGACUUUCUAUUUCGCACAAGCGCUCUAGAUGACACGUUUUUUUUAAGUAUUCAACGAGGUGUAGUAAAUAGACAGACCCGGCACCCAAGGACAGAGGGACACCUAUCUACUAUACGCUAGUACCUUUUCCCGUUAAACCUAUUUACCCUAGAUAUAAAUAUACAAAGAGCGACGCACUAUCAAUCAACUUCGUUUAGAUUGUUAAACUAAUAUCUCAAUUACCUAUCGAAUACUCCCUCUGUUCUAAAACAAUAUUUGUUUUAGUUCUUCAUUUUUAUGUCUAUAUUCAACAAAUGAUGAUGAAUCCAUUAGAGAAGCAAAACGAAUUCUAUUUUGAUACAGAGUGAGUAUUAUUUACUAUACACAUGAUGAUUACAUCGACAGAGAGAAGCUUUUUAAAAUUGAAAUAUUUUUGUGAACUAUUUAAGGUCAACAAUGACUCAAGAGAGGUUAAUGGUUUGACGAUUCUAUGUAUCAAAAAGAAGUCGUUGGAUGAGAUUGAUCUCAAUUGUAUAAGCGAUGUCUUUGUAUCAUAAAAUGUAAGCGUACAUCUCCAUGGGGUUUACGAAAUUUAUGUAUCCUCUACAUAAAAUAAGUUCUGGUUUCACAAGAAAAAUGUUCUGCGUUCAUUAGAAGGAUGUUACAACGUCAAUAAAAUGUUCGGCUAAAAAAUUGUUGGA